GGGUCAGUGGGUUGGUCGUGCCACCGGUACGUACUGGUCUCACUGAUUCCUCCUUCCUGAAGAACCGUAAUGCCAUUAAUUUGGUGUUGCGGGGAAACAGGGCUGUUACUUUGAAAAAAUUAGAGUGUUUAAAGCAAGCUAACGCUUGAAUACAUUAGCAUGGAACAAUGAAAUAGGACGAUCGAUCCUAUUUUGUUGGUUUCUAGGAUUGACGUA
rnacentral:rRNA from 1 species